GAAAAUCUAUUUCAAGCAUGUUUUUUCUUUUUUGCAUGUUUUAGGGAGCUAAGAUGUGUAGAAAUGACAGCCAGGCACUGGAAAUAAUCAGUUUUCUGGUUCUUAUCAUGGCAGCUGGCUGUGAUCAACAGACACCAGAACAAACAGCAGACAACUAGAGAAGAAAGCCUCCCCUCUGCACAGGUCAGGUAUCUCUGAGACGUCACUAAAAAACAAGACUGCAGCAGGCAGCUGGAGGCAGCAGCUGAGUCCUCCAGACAAACACACCCUGAAGAAGGCUGGAGUUGUUCCAUCACUCCUCCUCCUGCAGCCCACCAUCCUGAUCCCUUCACUCUUCUUAUGUCCCUCUUUCUGCUCCUUCCUUUUCCUAUACACCUCUAUAACACCAUCUGGUACAAAACAUGGAUAAAAACCACACUGAUGUCACCUUUAAAUGAGACCUAUGAGGACUUGUAUGACUUAAAGCCUAUGUGGUUAUUUUUACCCAUAACUACAACAGCUCAAGCUUGUUUUUUUUCUUUAAAUAUCUCCCAUAUUUAAAUUUAUAUCAUUUAGACGAACUGUAUAGUAGUCAGUAAGUUUGGAUGCAAGUAAUUAGGUUUUCUGUAGAAUCACUAUGAGGUUGAUAUUUGUAAUUAUGAGUGAAAUGUCACAAUUAUAUUAAAUUACAUUAUAUGAUAGAUAUUAGAUUAGAUCAGAUCAAUUUUAUUUCCAUUGCACAGAGUAGGAAUACAACAAAAUGCAGUUUAGCAACUAAUCAGACGUGCAAAAGCAGCAGUUUGUUUCAUUUACAGCAUGAACAGAAAAAAACAGGAUGA
ensembl:lncRNA